UACGUAGGGGGCGAGCGUUAUCCGGAUUCACUGGGUGUAAAGGGAGCGUAGACGGCCAAGCAAGCCAGGGGUGAAAGCCCGGGGCCCAACCCCGGGACUGCCCUUGGAACUGCAUGGCUGGAGUGCGGGAGGGGCAGGCGGAAUUCCUGGUGUAGCGGUGAAAUGCGUAGGUAUCAGGAGGAACACCGGCGGCGAAGGCGGCCUGCUGGACUGCGACUGACGUUGAGGCUCGAAAGCGUGGGGAGCGAACAGG
rnacentral:rRNA from 1 species